GAAUGAGCUUAUUUGGUGGCCGCCGGCGCCGGUAAUGGAGCUUGCUCGGAUCGCUGUUGAUUCUGGUGGUGAUACUGCGUCUGUUCAAAGGACUCUUGAUCCAACAGUCAUCCCUGUUCCUGACAUUGAAGGAUCAAAGGAAGACCGAUGUGAACUUACCAGAACUCCUUAUGGAAGACUGUUUAUUAAUGAGGAGAUAAAUUCAUACCUCGAAUCUUUGUUUGAAAUGAUUGUUGCUCGGGGACCCAGUGUUGGGCUGAAUGUAUCAUUGUCGCGCUUUGAUUUCUUUCAUGGUCAUGUCUUUCUUACCAGAGACUCUGGAAGACUUGGGAUCUUGUUCCAUGCUAAGGAGUAUCCAGCAUAUGAUAAGGAAGUUUUUCCUUGCAACAUGGGCUACUGCCAAAUAGGAACUAAUGUUUCUUAUGACGAUUCAAUGAAUUUGCGUAACAUAUUGUGGCUAGCUCCAUUAGCUAGCAACUCCUCAAAUGAAUGGUUAGCACCAGGAGUCUUAGUUGUCCUGGAUGCACGUCCAACUGGAGUCAUAUACAAGGACCUCAUACCCGAGUAUGUUCAAAUUGCCAGGACCCUGUAUGAAGAUGAUUUUGGGGACGUUGCUUUUGAUGUUAACUACCUAAACACAGGAGGUGAACCUCCUAAGUUUCAAAUUUUCAUUUGCUGACUUCUUUGGAAAGGUUUGACUGUCAAUUUGCAGUUUCACGAAGUGAGUAUCCAUAUACUCUAUAAAUAUUGCUUUGUCAUUGUCAUGUAAUUUCUCUGGCCGAAUCGAAAUAAAUCUUUGAAUCUAGCGCAUUCAAGUGGAUGGUUGUUUAGUAAAGGAUUUGUUUUACGGAGAUAUUACUAUUGGAAUCGCGAGCCUUUAGUCAUUUAGUUUGUGAGGGGAAAUCCUUAUGACAAAUAUCCUCUCUGGAUUAUACUGUGAAGCUUGGACAAUGAAACAAUGACUGAACUGUGGGAUUGCAGUGUAGGAUUUGUGGGUUCAUAGAAACCCAAUAGCUUUUGUUUAUUCCACGUUUAUAUGAUAAGAAAUCCAUUAAACAUUUAAAUUUUAUUGUAAAC
rnacentral:misc_RNA from 1 species